AAGAUUGCAAAUGAAAUGUAUAUUUCAUUUCAGUAGCAUAUCACGUCAAAUACAAUACAUCAUCUACCGGCUCCACGCAUUAAGGUUCAACGCCUAACAAGGGCACAUCAAAAUAAUUUUACAUGUGCACAAUAGAAUACUUCUGCAAGUGCAAGUGCACAAAAAAAGGACUCAACAAGUGCACAAUCGCACAUAAAGAGAGAUCCACAAAGAUUGGAUGAGAACCACAAGUUUCUUCUCAUCAUCUUCCUCUGCACAAUAUGCUCUUGCCAUUGCCAC
rnacentral:lncRNA from 1 species